rnacentral:lncRNA from 1 species
AAUCGUACGAAAUCACAGAAAACAGACAUUUUCUUUCGUCUAAAAUCUAAUAGGGUAUGAAGGAAUUGUCCUGAAUCAUCUUUGUAACAAUUCUCAUAAGUAAUUGUUAAUAACUUUAAAUGAAAAAAAAAGAAAAAAAAACUAAGUCUGACGACGUGGAGACCAAAUUUCUAUGUUACAGAUCAUUUCUUUUUAGCAUUAUUUGUGGAGAAUAUUGUAUGUAAACGUAAAUAGACAAGAGUCAUCAAAUUCAAAUCAAUAUGAAGAAUGAAAUCGGAAUAAAUAUUUUUGAUUCUGGAAACCAUA